rnacentral:rRNA from 1 species
AGUCGAACGUGAACGGGAGCAAUCCUUAGUAAAGUGGCGUACGGGUGAGUAACACGUAGGUAAUCUACCCAAGAGUCUGGAAUAACCGGCCGAAAGGCUGGCUAAUACUGGAUAGAGCGACGGAAGGCGUAAUGCCUUUUUCGGGAAAGGGAGCUCGAUAAGAGCCUUCGCUUUUGGAUGAGCCUGCGUCUGAUUAGCUAGUUGGUGAGGUAAUGGCUCACCAAGGCGAUGAUCAGUAGCUGGUCUGAGAGGAUGAUCAGCCACACUGGAACUGAAACACGGUCCAGACUCCUACGGGAGGCAGCAGUGGGGAAUCUUGCGCAAUGGACGAAAGUCUGACGCAGCCACGCCGCGUGAGUGAAGAAGGCCUUCGGGUUGUAAAGCUCUGUCACCUGGGACGAAAACCCAUUUGGUUAAUAGCCAAGUGGCUUGACGGUACCAGGGGAGGAAGCACCGGCUAACCUCGUGCCAGCAGCCGCGGUAAUACGAGGGGUGCAAGCGUUGCUCGGAAUUAUUGGGCGUAAAGGGUUGGGUAGGUGGUCUUGUUUGUCUAGGGUGAAAUCCCAUGGCUUAACUGUGGAAGUGCCCUAGAAACGGCAAGACUAGAGUCCUAGAGGGGUUUGUGGAAUUCCCGGUGUAGCGGUGAAAUGCGUAGAGAUCGGGAGGAACACCAGCGGCGAAGGCGGCAAACUGGAUAGGCACUGACACUCAACAACGAAAGCGUGGGGAUCAAACAGGAUUAGAUACCCUGGUAGUCCACGCUGUAAACGAUGGGUACUAGGCUUUGUGGGAAGAGACC